rnacentral:lncRNA from 1 species
CUGAGAAUGAGUGUCUAAUGUCCAUGCAUUUCCGGUUUUGUGCCUCGAGAUAAUUAUGGACAAUGGCCCAAACAGGUGAUUUUUAAGCCUGACUGGGAUCAUGGCAUUCCUCUAUACUGACCACUCACAGAAGAUGAGCCAUGCCUUCACUCAAG